ACCGUAAAAGUGAAGGAAUUUUAGUUUUAANUUUGGAAAAAAAUUUAGGNNNNGGGAAGUUUUAGUUUUUUGGAAAGGUAAAAUUUUUAAAAAANUUAUUCUUUCANAAUNGUGAAAUUUUGGAAAAAUCAAAAAUGAAACUAGGAUUAGAUACCCUAUUAUUAUUGAAUAAGAAGAAAUNUAGGUAGUAAUGGAAGACUUGAAACUUAAAGAAUUUGGCGGUGUUUUAAUCCUAUCAGAGGAACUUGUGUCUUAACUCGAAAUUACACGUUUUAUCUUACUUAAAUUUANGUUUGUAUAUCGUCGUAAAAAUAAAACUUUAAAGUGGAUAUUUAAUUUUAUUAAANUAAUGAAUUACAGAUCAAGGUUCAGCUNAUAUUUAAGNAGAACAUGAGUUACAAUAUUGNAUUAAGUAAAUGGAUAAUUUCCUNNGAAAGGNAGAUUUUGAAGGUGGAUUUAAAAGU
rnacentral:rRNA from 1 species